UACAGAGGUCUCAAGCGUUGUUCGGAUUCAUUGGGCGUAAAGGGUGCGUAGGUGGCGGGGUAAGUCUGGUGUGAAAUCUCGGAGCUCAACUCCGAAACUGCACUGGAUACUGCCUUGCUCGAGUACUGGAGAGGAGAUUGGAAUUUACGGUGUAGCAGUGAAAUGCGUAGAUAUCGGAAGGAAGACCAGUGGCGAAGGCGAAUCUCUGGACAGUUACUGACACUGAGGCACGAAGGCCAGGGGAGCAAACGGG
rnacentral:rRNA from 1 species